rnacentral:rRNA from 1 species
UACGUAGGGUGCGAGCGUUAAUCGGAAUUACUGGGCGUAAAGCGUGCGCAGGCGGAUUGUUAAGCAAGAUGUGAAAUCCCCGGGCUUAACCUGGGAAUGGCAUUCGAAACUGCCUGGCUAGAGUUUGAGAGAGGGAAGUGGAAUUCCACAUGUAGCGGUGAAAUGCGUAGAUAUGUGGAGGAACAUCAGUGGCGAAGGCGGCUUCCUGGCUUAAAACUGACACUGUGGCGCGAAAGCGUGGGUAGCAAACAGG